GACGAGUGGCGGACGGGUGAGUAAUGUCUGGGAAACUGCCUGAUGGAGGGGGAUAACUACUGGAAACGGUAGCUAAUACCGCAUAACGUCGCAAGACCAAAGAGGGGGACCUUCGGGCCUCUUGCCAUCGGAUGUGCCCAGAUGGGAUUAGCUAGUAGGUGGGGUAACGGCUCACCUAGGCGACGAUCCCUAGCUGGUCUGAGAGGAUGACCAGCCACACUGGAACUGAGACACGGUCCAGACUCCUACGGGAGGCAGCAGUGGGGAAUAUUGCACAAUGGGCGCAAGCCUGAUGCAGCCAUGCCGCGUGUAUGAAGAAGGCCUUCGGGUUGUAAAGUACUUUCAGCGGGGAGGAAGGGAGUAAAGUUAAUACCUUUACUCAUUGACGUUACCCGCAGAAGAAGCACCGGCUAACUCCGUGCCAGCAGCCGCGGUAAUACGGAGGGUGCAAGCGUUAAUCGGAAUUACUGGGCGUAAAGCGCACGCAGGCG
rnacentral:rRNA from 1 species